rnacentral:rRNA from 1 species
CCUACAGGUGGCAGCAGUGGGGAAUCUUGCACAAUGGGCGAAAGCCUUAUGCAGCGACGCCGCGUGGGCGAAGAAGGCCUUUGGGCCGUAAAGCCCUGUCGGGAGGGAAGAAGGAAGCGACGUUACCUCCCAAGGAAGCCCCGGCAACCUCGGUCCCAGCAGCCGCGGUAACACGUAGGGGCGAGCGUUUUCCGGAAGCAUUGGGCGUAAAGGGUGCGUAGGCGGCCUUUUAAGCGCGGGGUACAAGGCGGGGGUCCACCCACCGUUCGACCCGCGAACUGGAGGGCUAGAGUGUCGGAGAGGGAAGCGGAAUUCCUAGUGUAGCGGUGAAAUGCGUAGAUAUUAGGAGGAACACCAGUGGCGAAGGCGGCUUCCUGGACGAAGACUGACGCUGAGGCACGAAAGCGUGGGGAGCGAACAGGAUUAGAUACCCGUGUAGUC